GCCCGAUUAAUAAGUGAUCGCGCUGCUGUCUACUACAUGUCCCUGCACUAGUUACAGCAGUAAUUUCUUUGUUGGGAAGUAUUUAGCACAUCCGGGCUGCGCAAGAGGAGAGGACUAAAUUGAUUAUUAUGAACAGACUAUUACGAUGAACCACUGAUAUUGAGAGAGACAUGAAGAUGAGUGCUUUGACAACAAGACUGACUAGCUGAGCCAGCUUAAGAAUUAUGUGCUGUGUGUGUGUGUAAUUCCAGGAGCUCUCUAUGUCAGCUAUCCAUCUAAAAUAUUCUUACUCAUUUUUGUUAAUUAUAAAAUAAAUUUGAUUAUUCA
rnacentral:lncRNA from 1 species